rnacentral:tRNA from 1 species
CCGCUUUUUGGCAGGAGGCUCACUGCUCCUCCUCCGACGAGGUGACAGCAGCAAGUACAGGUUCUUUUUGUUCCAAUCCAAACAAGCGAGC